rnacentral:lncRNA from 1 species
AAGCAAGGUAGAAAAUUAAGUCUGAGGGGUAAUGGGGUUGGAGGGGAGGGAGAUGGAUCAAGUGGAACUUGUAGGCCACCCCGAGGACUUUGAUUUUGCCCUUUCUUUGAGACGGAGUCUCGCAGUGUUGCCCAGGCUGGAUGUAGUGGCACAAUCCUGGCUCUCUGCAACCUCUGCCUGCCAGGUUCAAGCGAUUCUCCUGCCUCAGCCUCCCGAGUAGCUGGGACUACAGGCGCAUGCCACCACGCCCGGCUAAUUUUUUGUAUUUUUAGUAGAGAUGGGGUUUCACCAUGUUGGCCAGGCUGGUCUUGAAUUCCCGAC